AUGGCCGUGUGGCUGGGAACGCAGGAUAUUUUGAGCAGCACAGGGGAAUUCUGCGUUACCCUGGAGACGAACAGACACAGGCCGCAGGGCAGCAGCACAUCUGCGCUCAGUAAGAGGCCUGGGCCGUGCAGGGCUCCCAGGGUCAGCAGGGGAGUGGGCGGGGCUGUGGGCGGGGCUCCAGCUGCCAGGACAGCUGCGGACUCCACUGGGAAGCAGAAGAUCCUGUUCUGCCUGAACAUGCACUUGUGGCUGUCCUCCCGGUAA
rnacentral:lncRNA from 1 species